rnacentral:rRNA from 1 species
CCUUCCACAGAGGGAUAGCCCAGAGAAAUUUGGAUUAAUACCUCAUAGCAUCAUGACCCGGCAUCGGGAUAUGAUUAAAGUCACAACGGUGGAAGAUGAGCAUGCGUCCCAUUAGCUAGUUGGUAAGGUAACGGCUUACCAAGGCUACGAUGGGUAGGGGUCCUGAGAGGGAGAUCCCCCACACUGGUACUGAGACACGGACCAGACUCCUACGGGAGGCAGCAGUGAGGAAUAUUGGUCAAUGGGCGCAAGCCUGAACCAGCCAUGCCGCGUGCAGGAUGACGGUCCUAUGGAUUGUAAACUGCUUUUGUACGGGAAGAAACCCUCCUACGUGUAGGAGCUUGACGGUACCGUAAGAAUAAGGAUCGGCUAACUCCGUGCCAGCAGCCGCGGUAAUACGGAGGAUCCAAGCGUUAUCCGGAAUCAUUGGGUUUAAAGGGUCUGUAGGCGGUCUUGUAAGUCAGUGGUGAAAGCCCAUCGCUCAACGGUGGAACGGCCAUUGAUACUGCUGGACUUGAAUUAUUGGGAAGCAACUAGAAUAUGUAGUGUAGCGGUGAAAUGCUUAGAGAUUACAUGGAAUACCAAUUGCGAAGGCAGGUUGCUACCAAUGGAUUGACGCUGAUGGACGAAAGCGUGGGUAGCGAACAGGAUUAGAUACCCUGGUAGUCCACGCCGUAAACGAUGGAUACUAGCUGUUGGGCGCAAGUUCAGUGGCUAAGCGAAAGUGAUAAGUAUCCCACCUGGGGAGUACGAACGCAAGUUUGAAACUCAAAGGAAUUGACGGGGGCCCGCACAAGCGGUGGAGCAUGUGGUUUAAUUCGAUGAUACGCGAGGAACCCUUACCAAGGCUUAAA